rnacentral:rRNA from 1 species
GCUCCUGGUGAAUCAUAAUAACUUAACGAAUCGCAUGGCCUUGCGCCGGCGAUGGUUCAUUCAAAUUUCUGCCCUAUCAACUUUCGAUGGUAGAAUAGUGGCCUACCAUGGUGGCAACGGGUAACGGGGAAUUAGGGUUCGAUUCCGGAGAGGGAGCCUGAGAAACGGCUACCACAUCCAAGGAAGGCAGCAGGCGCGCAAAUUACCCAAUCCCGAUACGGGGAGGUAGUGACAAUAAAUACUGAUACGGGGCUCUUUUGGGUCUCGUAAUUGGAAUGAGAACAAUUUAAAUCCCUUAACGAGGAACAAUUGGAGGGCAAGUCUGGUGCCAGCAGCCGCGGUAAUUCCAGCUCCAAUAGCGUAUAUUAAAGUUGUUGCAGUUAAAAAGCUCGUAGUUGAACCUUGGGUCUGGCUGGCCGGUCCGCCUCACCGCGAGUACUGGUCCGGCCGGACCUUUCCUUCUGGGGAACCUCAUGGCCUUCACUGGCUGUGGGGGGAACCAGGACUUUUACUGUGAAAAAAUUAGAGUGUUCAAAGCAGGCCUUUGCUCGAAUACAUUAGCAUGGAAUAAUAGAAUAGGACGUGCGGUUCUAUUUUGUUGGUUUCUAGGACCGCCGUAAUGAUUAAUAGGGAUAGUCGGGGGCGUCAGUAUUCAGCUGUCAGAGGUGAAAUUCUUGGAUUUGCUGAAGACUAACUACUGCGAAAGCAUUCGCCAAGGAUGUUUUCAUUAAUCAGGGAACGAAAGUUAGGGGAUCGAAGACGAUCAGAUACCGUCGUAGUCUUAACCAUAAACUAUGCCGACUAGGGAUCGGACGGGAUUCUAUAAUGACCCGUUCGGCACCUUACGAGAAAUCAAAGUUUUUGGGUUCUGGGGGGAGUAUGGUCGCAAGGCUGA